GACGAACGCUGGCGGCGUGCUUAACACAUGCAAGUCGAACGAAGUGGCGAACGGGUGAGUAACGCGUAAUCAACAUGCCUUUCAGAGGGGGAAAACAGUUGGAAACGACUGCUAAUACCGCAUACUGAAGGAGGGGAUUGCGUCGGAUUUGCUGGUGGGAGGGGUAACGGCCCACCAAGGCGAUGAGCAGUAGCCGGGCUGAGGCGAUUAACGGCCACAUUGGGACUUGGACACGGCCCAGACUCCUACGGGAGGCAGCAGUGGGGAAUCUUCCGCAAUGGACGAAAGUCUGGCGGAGCAACUCCGCGGUAGUGAUGACGGCCUUCGGGUUGUUAAACUCUUUUAGUCGGGGCGCGGUACCGGAAUAGAAAGCCACGGCUAACUACGUGCCAGCAGCCGCGGUAAUUC
rnacentral:rRNA from 1 species